rnacentral:ribozyme from 1 species
GAGAAUGAGAAAGACAACGAGAAAGAGAACGAGAAAUGAUGAAAGAAAGGGGAUAUGUUUUGUGAAGUUUUUUUGUUUAUUUUGAUCUUUCUUUGCCAAAUAUUUGACAUU